AUACGUAGGUGGCAAGCGUUAUCCGGAAUUAUUGGGCGUAAAGAGGGAGCAGGCGGCAGCAAGGGCCUGUGGUGAAAGCCUGAAGCUUAACUUCAGUAAACCAUAGAAACCAGGCAGCUAGAGUGCAGGAGAGGAUCGUGGAAUUCCAUGUGUAGCGGUGAAAUGCGUAGAUAUAUGGAGGAACACCAGUGGCGAAGGCGACGAUCUGGCCUGCAACUGACGCUCAGUCCCGAAAGCGUGGGGAGCAAAUAGGAUUAGAUACCCUAGUAGUCCACGCCGUAAACGAUGAGUACUAAGUGUUGGAUGUCAAAGUUCAGUGCUGCAGUUAACGCAAUAAGUACUCCGCCUGAGUAGUACGUUCGCAAGAAUGAAACUCAAAUGAAUUGGCGGGG
rnacentral:rRNA from 1 species